AUUGAACGCUGGCGGCAGUCCUAACACAUGCAAGUCGAACGAGUGGCGGACGGGUGAGUAAUGUAUGGGAAACUGCCCGAUGGAGGGGGAUAACUACUGGAAACGGUAGCUAAUACCGCAUACCAUCGGAUGUGCCCAGAUGGGAUUUGCUAGUAGGUGGGUUAACGGCUCACCUAGGCGAAGAUCCCUAGCUGGUCUGAGAGGAUGACCAGCCACACUGGAACUGAGACACGUUCCAGACUACUACGGGAGGCAGCAGUGGGGAAGAGUGCACAAUGGGCGCAAGCCUGAUGCAGCCAUGCCGCGUUUAUGAAGAAGGCCUUCGGGUUGUAAAGUACGUUCAGCGAGGAGGCGUUACUCGCAGAAGAAGCACCGGCUAACUCCGUGCCAGCAGCCGCGGUAAUAC
rnacentral:rRNA from 1 species